ensembl:misc_RNA Metazoa_SRP Metazoan signal recognition particle RNA
GCUGGAAGAGACCUUUAGAACAGCUGGUCAUUAUGCCGACCGGGUGUCUGCACUAAGCUCGGCAUGAAUAUGGUGACCUCCUGGGAUUGAGGGGCCACCAGGUUGCCUAAGGAUGGGUGGACUGGCCCAGAUCAGAAAGGGAACAGGUCAGAACUCCCACACCAAGUGGUAGCAGGACUGUGCCUGGGAAAUAUAGCAAGAUCUU